UUUUAUCUCAAUUAUUGACUCCUCUCCACUUUCUUUUGUCUUUCUCAUUUCUCUGUGCUCUGGCAUGGCAACUCUUCUUAGCCCGUUUUCUCCUUCUCCUUUAGCUAAAGUUUCGCAAAUAAUUGAUUCAACAUCAUCACAUUCAUUUUCGCUAUUUCCAUUAGGCCGCCAAAAUGCAUGUUCAAGAAAGGCGGAUCAUCAUCAUCAUCACAGGAUCCGGACAAGCAAGUUUGGUAACUUCCUAGAGUUGACACCGGAGUCGGAACCUGAAUUCUUAGUCUUUGAUCUC
rnacentral:lncRNA from 1 species